rnacentral:misc_RNA from 1 species
GGAAGGUCUGAAUCUUGAUCCGUGGCAAUGGCCGCCGUGAGCCGAGCUUCCACUCGCAUCCCUCAUCUGCUUGCUGCACGGGGAGCUUUUUCUCUUCACACCACAGCUCCGGCUUUGUCUUCUUCAUCGACUGCCUCUCCGACGCCGUAUGCCAGGCCGCUGCCUCCUUUGGCCUCAUCCCCGACGGGGCUUCCGAAGGCGGCUGAGUAUGUGAUCUCGAAGGUUGACGACCUCAUGAACUGGGCUCGCCGUGGCUCUAUCUGGCCCAUGACCUUCGGCCUUGCUUGUUGCGCCGUUGAAAUGAUGCACACCGGUGCUGCUCGCUAUGACCUCGAUCGCUUCGGUGUCAUCUUCCGUCCCAGCCCUAGGCAAUCUGAUUGUAUGAUUGUCGCCGGUACCCUCACCAACAAGAUGGCC